CUACUACUCCCUCCUUCCGAAAAUACUUGUCAUUGAAAUGGAUGUAUCUAGAUGUAUUUUAGUUCUAGACACAUCCGUUUUGAUGACAAGUAAUUCCGGACGGAGGGAGUAUUAU
rnacentral:pre_miRNA from 1 species